rnacentral:tRNA from 1 species
UGCGCCCGUAGCUCAGAAGGAUAGAGCGACGGUUUCCUAAACCGUAGGUCACAGGUUCGAUUCCUGUCGGGCGUAU